GGCCGAUGCAACUGCUGGUGGAGUUUUAAUUCCCCGAGGGUAUCACCAGCCAAGUUAUCAGUACUUCUGUGUUGACUUGAUGUAUCAUUGAUAUAUUCAUAAUUAUAAAUUAAGUGGUAACAAAACUUUGUAUUUUUGAAAAACUAAGACUUUUCUACCUCAGGAAUAGAUUACCUAAGAUGUAUUUGGCAAACUUUUAGUCAUUUUUGGUCCUCAAUACUCUUUAACUUCGUACUUUAUUUGGCCUUUUUUUUACAUUUUUUCAUU
rnacentral:lncRNA from 1 species